UGCAAAUUUAGAAGGUGAGUGACAAUGGUUUUUAGUGGAAAUUUCUGAAAAGCAUGCAAACUCCAUUACAUUUGGACCAUAUAUAUAUAUCUAUAUGUGUGUGUGUGUGUGUGUGUGUGUGUGUAU